rnacentral:ribozyme from 1 species
CUGUGGGUGAUCAUGAUCAAUAGCUGGCUUCAAUUCCUUGACGGUACGUUAUUUUCUUUAUUGAGCUCGUCUUUCUUUCAUUCUCUUAUUAUAAGAGCUCAAUAAAGGAAAAGAUAACGUGUAACCGUCAAGGAAUUACAUUUUCUUUAAUAUUUUCUCCUAAUUCUUUCUCCUGACAAUUUAAUUUUCUUCUUUCUUUUACAAGAAAAUUAAAUGGAGAAAGAAUGAGAAGGAGAAAAUAUUUUACAAGAAAAUGUAAUUGAUUAAUCCAUGGGCUUACAUCUCUUUCCAGCAGCCAGCAGCAGCGAUUCUCUUAUCAAAUGCUGGCACUGGAAGAGAUGACUCGCCCAUGGAUUAAUGUGGAUCCGUCAGGAGCUCUUCUUUUCACUAUCUGCUGACCUUUAUUCCUUUGUCUUUUCUUAUUGAUUGGUCAGCAGAUAAAGUGAAAAAGAAUGAGCUCCUAAGGACGGAUCCAUUCCUGGCCAGGACAAUUGAUUCCCUCAGAUCGUUCUUUCUCUUUUUUUCUUUAUGAAC